UCUGGCAGUGAUGCCACUCUUGCCCUCUCUGAGAACUCUGUUCCAUAAUGAGCCUCUCUGUGCUCACAGCAGCUGAGCCAGA